rnacentral:rRNA from 1 species
UGGGGAAUAUUGGACAAUGGGCGAAAGCCUGAUCCAGCCAUGCCGCGUGUGUGAAGAAGGUCUUCGGAUUGUAAAGCACUUUAAGUUGGGAGGCGUUACCGACAGAAUAAGCACCGGCUAACUUCGUGCCAGCAGCCGCGGUAAUACGAAGGGUGCAAGCGUUAAUCGGAAUUACUGGGCGUAAAGCGCGCGUAGGUGGUUCGUUAAGUUGGAUGUGAAAGCCCCGGGCUCAACCUGGGAACUGCAUCCAAAACUGGCGAGCUAGAGUACGGUAGAGGGUGGUGGAAUUUCCUGUGUAGCGGUGAAAUGCGUAGAUAUAGGAAGGAACACCAGUGGCGAAGGCGACCACCUGGACUGAUACUGACACUGAGGUGCGAAAGCGUGGGGAGCAAACAGGAUUAGAUACCCGUGUAGU